GAUGAACGCUGGCGGCGUGCCUAAUACAUGCAAGUCGAGCGAACAGACGAGGAGCUUGCUCCUCUGACGUUAGCGGCGGACGGGUGAGUAACACGUGGAUAACCUACCUAUAAGACUGGGAUAACUUCGGGAAACCGGAGCUAAUACCGGAUCAUAUAUUGAACCGCAUGGUUCAAUAGUGAAAGACGGUUUUGCUGUCACUUAUAGAUGGAUCCGCGCCGCAUUAGCUAGUUGGUAAGGUAACGGCUUACCAAGGCGACGAUGCGUAGCCGACCUGAGAGGGUGAUCGGCCACACUGGAACUGAGACACGGUCCAGACUCCUACGGGAGGCAGCAGUAGGGAAUCUUCCGCAAUGGGCGAAAGCCUGACGGAGCAACGCCGCGUGAGUGAUGAAGGUCUUCGGAUCGUAAAACUCUUUUAUUAGGGAAGAACAAAUGUGUAAGUAACUAUGCACGUCUUGACGGUACCUAAUCAGAAAGCCACGGCUAACUACGUG
rnacentral:rRNA from 1 species